CACGAACCGUACGAACGUUAUUCGGAAUUACUGGGCGUAAAGGGCGCGUAGGCGGCCACCGCAAGUCGACUGUGAAAUCUCCGGGCUUAACCCGGAAAGGUCAGCCGAUACUGCGGGGCUAGAGUGCAGAAGGGGCAACUGGAAUUCUCGGUGUAGCGGUGAAAUGCGUAGAUAUCGAGAGGAACACCUGCGGCGAAGGCGGGUUGCUGGGCUGACACUGACGCUGAUGCGCGAAAGCUAGGGGAGCGAACGGG
rnacentral:rRNA from 1 species